rnacentral:lncRNA from 1 species
CGGGUCCAGGAUUCAGAGAACUUGCAAAUUACCCCUACACAGUUAAACGAAUUGACCAUGCAAGAUUUUAUUACGGCAGUCCUCUAGGUUCAGCUUCGGCUCCCCGAAGAACCACUGCUUAUGUAUUCAUAGUAUCCCUCUGCAUUAUAUAUAUGAGUAUGUAAUUCACUAUAGUUUAAUGAUAAGAAACAUUCAACUUUUAUAUUGUAUCAGAGUAAACUAUCAACUUCUGA